GCCCAUAUAGCUCAGCCGGUAGAGCGCAUCCUUGGUAAGGAUGAGGUCACCAGUUCGAAUCUGGUUAUGGGCUCCA
rnacentral:tRNA from 2 species